GGGUUGUAGACUGACGCGUAUGACACACGUACAGGGCAGGGCGCACAGCGAGUCGCCACUGGCCAGAGCCCAGAAUGUCUCAGUACUGAUUGGUGACGCAAAGGAAGCAGAAGAAUACGUCUUAUCUGACAACGUCGAGAAAGAAGGAUGGUUAAGUUCGUUGUGAGGAAGCGAAAAGUACAGGAAGAUGAAUCUCAAGACCAAAUGGUGGCUUCCAGUAUUGGUACUGCUUCAGAGUCAAACAUUGAAGAUGUUCCUGGACCAUCUGAAUCAAAAUGUGAAAAGAGGAAGCACGCAUCUCUUUGGAUUGGAUUGUAUCACCCUUCGAACUGGCUGACAUGGCUGAAGAACAGGACUUCACGGCAAUAGAACGUGACGAAUUUCUUGAUAUGUCUGCUGAUUCAACACUGGAAGUCAAAUUUGAGAAGAGUGACGUGACACUGGCAGCUUUUUGGCAUGGAACAUCGGGGGAAUAUCCUAAUUUGGCUAAGAAAGCUAUUUCUCUACUUUUGCCUUUCUCCACAUCGUAUCUGUGUGAGCAGGCAUUUUCUGCCAUGGCAACAAUAAAAUCGAAACAAAGAAAUAGGCUUCUUUCACUUGAGGAUGAUAUGCGGGUGGCAUUAUCAACAAUAAGACCUGAUAUCAAGAGUUUGUGUUCCAAGCAUCAAUCGCAAGUUUCACACUAAAUAUACAUGCAUGGUUCACUCUUGUCUAUUUGUGUGUAUGUCUUGUAUCAUAGUGUAACACUGUAACUACUUGAAUACAUUGUGCAACUACUGUAAAACUUGUCACAAUUACAUAUUUGUAUUAUAAUACCAUUUUUUGUAAUAGCAGGAUCAGUGUAAAGAAAAUUUUCAUAUCUAUGUAUAAGGUGUUGUUACAUCGAUGCAAAAUGUCGAAAUGAAAAAAAUAUAUAUAAUAAAAAAACAA